GACGAACGCUGGCGGCGUGCCUAAUACAUGCAAGUUGAGCGCUGAAGGUUGGUACUUGUACCAACUGGAUGAGCAGCGAACGGGUGAGUAACGCGCGGGGAAUCUGCCUUUGAGCGGGGGACAACAUUUGGAAACGAAUGCUAAUACCGCAUAAAAACUUUAAACAAAAGUUUUAAGUUUGAAAGAUGCAAUUGCAUCACUCAAAGAUGAUCCCGCGUUGUAUUAGCUAGUUGGUGAGGUAAAGGCUCACCAAGGCGAUGAUACAUAGCCGACCUGAGAGGGUGAUCGGCCACAUUGGGACUGAGACACGGCCCAAACUCCUACGGGAGGCAGCAGUAGGGAAUCUUCGGCAAUGGACGAAAGUCUGACCGAGCAACGCCGCGUGAGUGAAGAAGGUUUUCGGAUCGUAAAACUCUGUUGGUAGAGAAGAACGCUGGUGAGAGUGGAAAGCUCAUCAAGUGACGGUAACUACCCAGAAAGGGACGGCUAACUACGUG
rnacentral:rRNA from 1 species